AUUGAACGCUGGCGGCAUGCCUUACACAUGCAAGUCGAACGGCAGCACGGGAGCAAUCCUGGUGGCGAGUGGCGAACGGGUGAGUAAUAUAUCGGAACGUGCCCAGUAGUGGGGGAUAGCCCGGCGAAAGCCGGAUUAAUACCGCAUACGACCUGAGGGUGAAAGCGGGGGAUCGCAAGACCUCGCGCUAUUGGAGCGGCCGAUAUCAGAUUAGCUAGUUGGUGGGGUAAAGGCCUACCAAGGCUACGAUCUGUAGUUGGUCUGAGAGGACGACCAGCCACACUGGGACUGAGACACGGCCCAGACUCCUACGGGAGGCAGCAGUGGGGAAUUUUGGACAAUGGGCGCAAGCCUGAUCCAGCAAUGCCGCGUGCAGGAAGAAGGCCUCGGUUGUAACGUAGCUUUGUUCUAGGGAAGGAAA
rnacentral:rRNA from 1 species